rnacentral:tRNA from 1 species
GGAGUUUUGCAAACUCUGGGAACCUCCAGCAAAUAUCGUGCUGCCUUCGCAUGGCAGAGGUCACGAGUUCGAGUCUCGUCGGGUUCA